rnacentral:misc_RNA from 1 species
UCUCCGUUGGUGAACCAGCGGAGGGAUCAUUACCGAGUUUCCGAACUCCCAACCCCCUGUGAACAUACCUAUACGUUGCUUCGGCGGGCGCGCACCGCGCCCCGCCGAGGGACACGCCAAACUCUUUUGCAAACAGCCCGUCUUAUUCCAACAAAAACAAAUGAAUCAAAACUUUCAACAACGGAUCUCUUGGUUCUGACAUCGAUGAAGAACGCAGC